CGCCAGAAAGCCAAGUGGGCUGGGCAUCGAUCUGCAAAAUCGAGAACGGCGGUUCGAUUCCGCCUCUGGCGUCCA
rnacentral:tRNA from 1 species